GGACCAGCCUCUUUGUCCCACUGCCUUGUUGAUUUAACCUCCAGGGACCCCUGGGACACUGUUUACCCUUCCAAAGACACAACUGGCACCAAGACUCCGAAGCCUGUACCAAGAAGGGGGCUGGGAGCCCCACAGGCAGUCGCUGUUGGCGGCUGCCCAAAGGCUUCCGUCCUCCCCUGUGACGCUAUCCCAGUGUGGCCAUUUUUGAUCCUGAGAAAGGAGUCAGGAGUGGGUCGAUGCAAUUACAAUUCAUUAAGUCCUGCUCUGAAGUCAGGAGCCCAUAUUCCCAGGGAGGAGCCACUGUGGAGAUGCAGAAGAGUAAAAUGCUCGCUCACAGCACAAUGUUUAGAUUCUUCCAGUGGCUGCUGCUGUGUGUGUGUGUGUGUGUGUGUGUGUUAGGGGAGCACCCACAGGGAGGCUGAGGGGGAGCUGAGGGCUCUGAGGGCUCCUAUCACUCACCCCUCCCUGAGCCUGAGCCCUUGGCCCUGAGGGGGUGGCUAAUUUCUUUAUGCUCCCCGAGUGUCUGUACAGCUGCCUGCAGUGUGCCCUCAGGUGAGCUCCUGGGAGGCCGGGGCUCCUCCACCAGUGUGCUGGGGUUUAAAUCCGACAGCAGACUGGACAGGAGCAUUUCAGCUCUGAACUGUACCCCUCCAAAUGUGCUCUGGGAGCCCCAGCAUGGGCAUACUGAGAAAUGCAGUCUGGGGGCGCCUGGGCGGCUCAGUCAGUUAUGUGCUGGAUUUCAGCUCAGGUCAUGACCUCACGGUUUGUGGGUUCGAGCCCCUCGUGGGGCUCUGUGCUGACAGCUCAGAGCCUGGAGCCUGUUUCGGAUUCUGUGUCUCCCCCGCUCUCUCUACCCAUGCGCACACACUCUCUCUUUCUCUCUCAAAAAUAAACAAACAUUAAAAAAAAAAACCCAAAAAACCAACAUGCAGAGUCUCAGGCUGCAGCCCAGACCUACAAAUUGGAACCCGCGUUUUCACAGGAGUCUGGGUGGUCCCUGCCCAGCAAAGCCUGAGACUCAGGGAGCCGACGUGGCAGCCAAGGCCGUGGAAAGAGCCAGCCAGCACAAAUGCUCAUGCGGCCACCUCUAAAACGGCGUCUUUUCUGAGCAGCACCUUGCACCUGGAUCACACAGCCGACUUGGCAACGUUGCCCUCUGGCUCUCACACUGACCGCUAGGGCACGUGGCCUCAUUCCCAUUUUGCAGACGAAGUGACCGAGUGCAGACGGGAGCCCAUAGCCGCGUGGCCCAGGGCUCACCUGGGAGUCAGGGUUGAAGCUCAGGGCGCUUUUCCCUUCGCCGUCGCCCCAGGGCGGCCCAGGGAGGGCCUGCGGAGGAAGAGCAGGUGAGGGGCCUCGAACGGGGAGCAAGCCUGGGUGUCGCGGGUGGAGNGGACCCGCCGCUGCUAACAGGGCUGUUGGUGCCAGUUCCCCCCCCUCCGCGGAUGCCGGGGUGGGGGUGGGGUGUGGGGGGCCUGGCUGACAGCGCAGGGCCUGGGAAUUGCCGGGUUGGAACUCCCACCGAGGGCCUCGACCGCACGUCCUGGUCUGCGUCCUGGGGCGCUCUUCUCUGUGGGCCAAGUGCUUGUAUGGCCCGAUCUUGCUGAACCCACGUAGGACCCUCAGAGGUGGGGCCCCCUGGCUUUCCCUGCUUACACACCAGGACACUGCCACGUGACCUGUGUGUCCACACAGCCAGGAGAUGGGGGUCUAGUAUCUCGACCCACAUCCGUCUAACUUAAGUGUCUAAUCUUUGUGCUGAGUUCCUUCGCGAGGCUUUCUGAAAAGGUGUCAAGUCCAUGUAAUUAUCUCCGGGAGAAAUGCUUGCUUUAAAAAAGAAAACAUUUACCAUGGAUGUUUUAUGAUAGUUUGAAACAUGACAUUUUGAAAUAAAAUCUCCUU
rnacentral:lncRNA from 1 species